GACGAACGCUGGCGGCGUGCCUAAUACAUGCAAGUAGAACGGUGAAGGAGGAGCUUGCUUGUCUGGAUGAGUGGCGAACGGGUGAGUAACGCGUAGGUAACCUGCCUGGUAGCGGGGGAUAACUAUUGGAAACGAUAGCUAAUACCGCAUAAUAGUAGAUGUCGCAUGACGUGUGCUUAAAAGGUGCAGUUGCAUCACUACGAGAUGGACCUGCGUUGUAUUAGCUAGUUGGAGAGGUAUCGGCUCACCAAGGCAAGGAUCCAUAGCCGAACUGUGAGGGGGGUCAGCCGCACUGAGACGGAGACAGGGCACAGACGCAUACGGGAGGGAGCCAGAGGCAAACGUGGGCAAUGGGCGGAAGUCUGACCGCGAAGGGCCGCGUCAGUGAGGAAGGUUGCCGGGUCCGAGAUCUCUGUUUUAAGGGAAGAACGAGUGUGAGAGUGGAAAGAACACACUGUGACGGUAUCUUACCAGAAAGCGACGGCUAACUACGUG
rnacentral:rRNA from 1 species